UAUUAUAACCUAGAAAUAGUAAAAAUAUACGAGCCCUGCUGUAUAACGUUGUCCAGACCACCACGUUUUUUACUUUGAGAAAAAUAAAUGAAACGUUACGCUGUUGCGUAUUCUGCAUAAAAUCCGCAGAGCAAGAGACGUUUUCGAGUUGUUGGAGCGCUAAUACUGAUUCUGAUUUGAUACGGUAUAGCAUUUAUCCUUAUAAUUUGCUUCAGGACGGAAGACAUUGUUGCCUUCCCCAGAGAUCAUCCAACGGCACGCUGUGAGAAUUCAAUAAUCGGAGUGGAUGACACAUGUGUUUAAUUGAAUUGUAAUAUUUUG